AGAGUUUGAUCAUGGCUCAGGGUGAACGCUAGCUACAGGCUUAACACAUGCAAGUCGGAGGGGAAACGACAUCGAAAGCUUGUCUUUUGAGUGGGCGUCGACCGGCGUACGGGUGAGUAACGCGUAUCCAACCUGCCCACCACUUGGGGAUAACCUUGCGAAAGUAAGACUAAUACCCAAUGAUAUCUCUAGAAGACAUCUGAAAGAGAUUAAAGAUUUAUCGGUGAUGGAUGGGGAUGCGUCUGAUUAGCUUGUUGGCGGGGUAACGGCCCACCAAGGCAACGAUCAGUAGGGGUUCUGAGAGGAAGGUCCCCCACAUUGGAACUGAGACACGGUCCAAACUCCUACGGGAGGCAGCA
rnacentral:rRNA from 1 species